GAAAAGAAACCAACAGGGAUUGCCUCAGUAACGGCGAGUGAAGCGGCAACAGCUCAAAUUUGAAAUCUGGCCCUUUCAGGGUCCGAGUUGUAAUUUGUAGAGGAUGUUUCGGCGAGUGCUCCCGUCUAAGUUCCUUGGAACAGGACGUCAUAGAGGGUGAGAAUCCCGUAUGUGAUGGGUUGCGCGAGCCAUGUGAAACUCCUUCGACGAGUCGAGUUGUUUGGGAAUGCAGCUCUAAAUGGGAGGUAAAUUUCUUCUAAAGCUAAAUACCGGCCAGAGACCGAUAGCGCACAAGUAGAGUGAUCGAAAGAUGAAAAGCACUUUGGAAAGAGAGUUAAAAAGUACGUGAAAUUGUUGAAAGGGAAGCGCUUGCAACCAGACUUGCCCGCAGUUGCUCAACCCGCCUCCUGGCGGGUGCACUCUUCUGCGGUCAGGCCAGCAUCAGUUCGGGCGGCCGGAUAAAGGCGCCGGGAAUGUAGCUCCUCUCGGGGAGUGUUAUAGCCCGGCGUGACAUGCGGCCAGCCUGGACUGAGGAUCUCGCUUCGGCUAGGAUGCUGGCGUAAUGGUUGUAAGCGGCCCGUCUUGAAACACGGACCAAGGAGUCUAACAUCUAUGCGAGUGUUUGGGUGUCAAACCCAUGCGCGUAAUGAAAGUGAACGGAGGUGGGAACGCGCAAGCGUGCACCAUCGACCGAUCCUGAUGUCUUCGGAUGGAUUUGAGUAAGAGCAUAGCUGUUGGGACCCGAAAGAUGGUGAACUAUGCCUGAAUAGGGUGAAGUCAGAGGAAACUCUGAUGGAGGCUCGCAGCGGUUCUGACGUGCAAAUCGAUCGUCAAAUUUGGGUAUAGGGGCGAAAGACUAAUCGA
rnacentral:rRNA from 1 species